rnacentral:rRNA from 1 species
GUCGAGCGGAACGAUGGGAGCUUGCUCCCAGGCGUCGAGCGGCGGACGGGUGAGUAACACUUAGGAAUCUACCUAGUAGUGGGGGAUAGCUCGGGGAAACUCGAAUUAAUACCGCAUACGACCUACGGGAGAAAGGGGGCAGUUUACUGCUCUCGCUAUUAGAUGAGCCUAAGUCGGAUUAGCUAGAUGGUGGGGUAAAGGCCUACCAUGGCGACGAUCUGUAGCUGGUCUGAGAGGAUGAUCAGCCACACCGGGACUGAGACACGGCCCGGACUCCUACGGGAGGCAGCAGUGGGGAAUAUUGGACAAUGGGGGGAACCCUGAUCCAGCCAUGCCGCGUGUGUGAAGAAGGCCUUUUGGUUGUAAAGCACUUUAAGCAGUGAAGAAGACCUAACGGUUAAUACCCGUUAGCGAUGACAUUAGCUGCAGAAUAAGCACCGGCUAACUCUGUGCCAGCAGCCGCGGUAAUACAGAGGGUGCAAGCGUUAAUCGGAAUUACUGGGCGUAAAGCGAGCGUAGGUGGCUUGAUAAGUCAGAUGUGAAAUCCCCGGGCUUAACCUGGGAACUGCAUCUGAUACUGUUAAGCUAGAGUAGGUGAGAGGGAAGUAGAAUUCCAGGUGUAGCGGUGAAAUGCGUAGAGAUCUGGAGGAAUACCGAUGGCGAAGGCAGCUUCCUGGCAUCAUACUGACACUGAGGCUCGAAAGCGUGGGUAGCAAACAGGAUUAGAUACCCUGGUAGUCCACGCCGUAAACGAUGUCUACUAGUCGUUGGGUCCCUUGAGGACUUAGUGACGCAGCUAACGCAAUAAGUAGACCGCCUGGGGAGUACGGCCGCAAGGUUAAAACUCAAAUGAAUUGACGGGGGCCCGCACAAGCGGUGGAGCAUGUGGUUUAAUUCGAUGCAACGCGAAGAACCUUACCUGGUCUUGACAUACACAGAAUCUUGUAGAGAUACGAGAGUGCCUUCGGGAAUUGUGAUACAGGUGCUGCAU